UUUUUUUAAAUCCAAUUUUUAAUCAUAAUUUUGUAAGAUGAUGUGAUGUAUAAUUUGUAUGAAACAUACGACAUAUGAACGAAACAAAAAGCGAUGGCCUGAACUUUGUUUCUUCUAAUAAAAAACUUGCAAGUUGUAAAUGCAGCUUUUCUACAAUAAAGAAAUACACCCUUUAUUGGUACGCCAUUAGUAGAUCUAGAUCUAGUUUCUUUGACACAAAUGGACAAAAUUUGUUGACCGAACGACAGUCUAGCGCGCAUACCGCACGAUCAGUCAGCUUUCCAGAUUCCAGAGUAUAUAGAUCUAGUCCAGAGAUAUCAUAAUUGACCAAAACUGCAAUUCAACUUAUAAAGUUAAUGUAUCACAUAAACUGACAUAGGCCUAUAUAAAAUCUUAAAACAUCGACAUUAUGCAAACAUUCCAGUGAAGUAUAUUACAAAUGGACGACACUCUGCCAAUUUGGUGAAUAAUAUAUUUAAUAAUGCGACUUAGUGACUAGAAUCAGAGGCGGCCUUAGGUGGUGGAUAGUGAGGCAAAACGCCCCCCCCCCCCC